rnacentral:rRNA from 1 species
ACGAACGCUGGCGGCGUGCUUAACACAUGCAAGUCGAACGGGCCCGCCCCUGUUUUUGGGGGUGGGUUGAGUGGCGAACGGGUGAGUAUCACGUGAGUAACCUGCCCCCUGCUCCUGGAUAACUGCUUGAAAGGGCGGCUAAUACGGGGUGUGCCGGCUGGUCCGCAUGGGCCUGGUCGGGAUAGUUUCAUCUUCGGGUGUUUCGGUGGGGGAUGGGCUCGCGGCCUAUCAGCUUGUUGGUGGGGUGAUGGCCCAGCAAGGCGGUGACGGGUAGCCGGCCUGAGGGGGUGGGCGGCCACACGGGGACUGAGACACGGCCCGGACGCCUGCGGGAGGCAGCAGUGGGGGGUAUUGCGCAAUGGGCGGAAGCCUGAUGCAGCGGCGUCGCGUGAGGGAUGGAGGCCUUCGGGUUGUGAACCUCUUUCUCCGGUGGUGAAGGCCCUGUCCGUUGCGGCGGGGUUGACGGUAGCCGGGUAUGAAGCGCCGGCUAACUACGUG